rnacentral:other from 1 species
UCUACCCUGCCGUGCUCGUGAUCCGCACGAGUUUUGAGCCAACACCCACACGAAGGGCAUCGAUAUCGUAGCAGUGACGCAUUAGGAUUCGUCCAAAGCGGAGGUGCUAGGGAGAUGACCCACCUGCGAAAGCAGGUUCAAAACGUCGCGGCACACGGCAUGGCGGGUAGUC